AUGAUACCUACAGGGGGGAGCACGGAGAAGAAAGACAUUUGAGUUAAUGGUGAAAAUGAUCAACAUGAAGAUACCCAACAUGUCAAGAAAUUAAUGGACACCUGCCAUCCAAUCAGAACUGAGAAUUCUCUGUGGCAUAACCAACCAAUCCACACCUUAAACAAAACUAAAUCUUAACCCCAAAAUUUUUGUCCCCAAAUUGGAACCUAGUCCCCAUACUGUGACUGUACAAACACAUUCGUGCCACCCCAAAAUGUUUGGCUUUCUAUUUUUUUUGAGAAACCUAAUUGACAUAAUGCAUUCCCUGUAGCUACUAACCCUAACCUUAACCAUCACAACAACAGUAAAUGCACUAACCCUAAUGCCAAGCACACACUACAUGACUCUCAAAGUUGUUAGAUUCACACUACACAACUCUUGGUCUUGUAAUCAUGAAUCUUGAAGUUGUGGUUUGCACACUACGUGACUGAUUGGCGACAGGGGGUCACACAUUACAGGAUCUUUCCCCGACGAGGCUUUCUGGUCUACAAACUAUGUUUUGUCAUGAAAACACACACAAGAAGUGACACGUGAAAUGUUUCCCCUUAUCUGCGCUCUCAUUGGCUGUAGCUCGUAGCCACCGUCAUUGCCAUUCACAACACUUUUCACACUACAGGAUUUGGACUCCAGAUCCAGAUAUUUAGCCUGCUUAAUAUCUUUCAGGCACCUGAGAUGCAUCAGCAAGUCUCUCAGAUCGCGUCUUUGAACAAUUCACACAUAGUGAUCAAGCGCUGAUUUGCAAGUGCUGAACAAACAAUGAUUUGACUCUGAUCAGGGGCUUUUGUCAGCAAUCCAAAAACUGUCGGCGAGCGUAAAAUCAGGGCUACAGUCGUGUAGUAUGAACUCGGCAUAACUCUACCUCAAUUUAAUUCUAACUUAACACAGAGUCAUGUUUACAUUCCUUCGGGGGACAUUACAAUGACUUACAUCAAUUUCCUUGAGACAUACCCUAACCCUUACCCCAACCCUAGACCAGUACUAAAAUGUAUUGAUUUACAUUAUGAGGACUUGCUUUUUGUCCCCAAAAGGCAGGCAAGUCCCCACUAUGUGACCGUGUAAACUUAUGUCCCCACAACAUGAAAAAUACAAGUACUCUCACACACAUAGACAAUUUACAGACACUGCAUCUGUGUUCAAGUUCCAUAAAAACCUUUUAUUUUUAUUCUGCUACAAAUUGAAUUGUUUUCUAGCAUGCAUAGUUUCACACAGUAAAGACAAGUAAAAUCACAAAGUAAGAAUUUCCCUUAGAAGAAUAUCUCAUCUUUAUAGCAUGCAUAUACCCCCCAUGUCCAUUUCUGAACAGUCAACCAAUAAUUUAGCUGCCCCAGGAACCAAAGGACAUUUAAAGCAGCCAUUUUGAAAAUGUAAUCCAAUAGAUCAUAUUUCUAAAAAAUACUACUCUGAAUGAGACUCAAAUAAUAAUUUCUGUAAACUUUCUUUGGCUUUUUUCAUAAAGAAGCUAAUACUGCUCCCUUACAUAUAUGUAUAAUGAAGAAGGUAAAGAAGGUAAAUUGAAAUUACAGAUUAUGCUAUAGGGGCAGUUUGUGGAUGAGGUUGAUUGUUCAAUUCCUUUUGAGGUAUUAAAGUUAAAAACGUAAAUGUUAUAACAAAGUGAAAUUUUUCACUUCAGGACUGUUCUGUAGACACAAUAGACUCACAGAAACCCAAUAAAUAAGUACAUUUAUCAAAGCUCUUCUCAUAAAAAUUAAAGCAUUAACAUAAUCGCUCUUUCAUCUGAAGUUUGAACGCUCAUCCACCACUGUGAGUCACAGUGUAGAUGAUCCAACAAACAAACCAGAACAUGUUUUAUGCAUUCUGAGUAUCCAUGCAGAGUAAUAUUCAGAAUUGGUAAAACAUAUUUAAAAAGGCCUGUCACAGUAGUCGAGAUUAGCAACUCGCUGUACGUGGAGAGAACAUCCUUCAAGAAUUUUUGCAGUCUUAUGCACACUGAAAAUUACACAUAUAUCACAGUAAGAUAGGCAUAACGUUAUUAAAGUCAGAAGAACUGUAUCAUUGCUACAUUACACAUAAUUACAAAACAAAAAUUGACUUUCCUUAACCAGAGUUUGACAAUGGUCUUAAGGGACAAAAUAAAUCCAUAGUGUGUAGAGAAACAACAGUAUGCACAAAACACAAACACACAGCUUUGACAGGAUCACAUGAAAUAUUUCCAUAUUGCCAUAUUGUAUUUGUGCUUAAGAUGUCUUCAGCAUAAGAAAGUAAUGUGCUGUAUUUGUAGGGUGCUGCUGGCAUACUGCUGUAGUUGGAACAUGUCUCUUUAACUGCUGCAGUUAUCAGCAACGAUGGCAUAGAGUUUGAGCCAAAUCGCUCAAACGUCACAUUACCCCUUUACCCUUGAGUUGACAACCACAUCAGCAUUAUAAAUGUCAUUACUAAAGGAAAAUGUGCUUUUUUUUAAAAUAUGCUUUGUAAAAGUCAGAAAUGCAGCUGUUUGUUUUGUUUAUGCUCUAGGAAACAGCAGCAUGUAAUCAACAGUGUUGCUCCUGGCUGUAUUCAUCAGCCUUUGAGCUUCAGCGUGGCAGUUUCAGGGCAGGGUUGAUAUGUUUUUGUUUUCUUGUUCACUGACAGUUCAGAAGUUCAAGACCCAUCAGUAGCCUGUGCUGGUUUCUCUCAUCUUCCCCCCAUGCCAACAGAGAAUCCAUGUUGUAUUUUAACAUGUCGGCUCUCCCUUAGGAACUCAUCGGGACAUCAUUCGCACAAAUUCUGUGAAUUGAAGAAAAGGACAAAUGUCGGACAUAACUUAAAAGUCAGCUACUUAAAAAAUCUACAGUAAGAUUUAUUAUAUGAUGCAGUGCAAGUGAAAACAAUUGUAUGUCAUGCUAUUUUCUUCUGCAUGCUAUUUCUGUUUCUGCUUUGGAGAUGUUGGUAGGUGGGUGUUACAUGUUAGUCAGUAAGCUAAAGAGGUGCUGGACAGUGGAUUUUGUUACUUUUGGACAGAGCCAGGCUAGCUGUUUAUCCCUGUUUCCAGUCUUUAUGCUAAGCUAAGCUAACUGGCUGCUGUGUGUAUAGCUUUUUAUUUACUGCACAGAUAUGACAGUGAUGUCAAUCUCCUCAGUUAACACUCUGUGCAUGAGCAAAUAAGCAAACUAUUUCCCAACUAUUCCUUUAAGUUCCAAUUCAUGUAUUUCUAUUAAUUUUUCUAUAGAGGUUAAUGUGAACUGGGCUUUAGCUCUGUCUGACCAUCUCACUCAAUAAAGAAAAUAUUCCUUACUUUUAUCCAAAUGGGUCAUAAUCAGUUUGGCUAACAAAAACAUAUUAUUAAAAUAUUUUGUAUGGAUGUCUCAAAUGUGUUAGCCUGAUAGCAGUUUGUUAAAAUCAGUUAUUGCAAGCUUGUAUGUUACACUGUCAUGUUUAAAUCAACUGUCAAGAGUUCAGUAAUUCAGUGUAUCAUUGUAAUUACUGACAUAUGUUAUUUUCUCUCUUUUCUCUCUCUUAAUGGCAUUUUACACACUAAUGCUGCCUAAAACUUACCCCUGAAUAUACCGAACCUCUCUGUUAAAUGUUAAUGUAAAUGUUAAUUGGACAUUAGCAUCAAUGGAUUGGAUAUAAAAUGCAGGGAAAAUAUUAAAAUUUAGUUAUUAGAAUUAAAUAUACUAGUUGCACUACUGAGAAAAGCACAUCCUGAUAUUUUCAUCCUUGACAGCCUAUAUGCAUCUUUUUCUCUGGGGGUAAUCUAUGAGGUGACAUAAUCCCUUGGUAUGGAGAUAAUCUGACAGACAGACCUACUGCCUUCAUCCCCUCACCUCACUAUCAGCGUGGUAUUGGGAUAUCAGUCAGAGACAUGCUGGGAUUUUUGCUUAUACUUGAAAUGUGCUUGAGUGUGUGUUUGUGUUUAAAAAAAGAGACAGGAUGAGAGAAAGUGAGAGCAAUGAAAGGUAUUGUGUAAGCAUGUUUGAUUUCCAGGCUCAGGCUGCAGUUAAAUAUAGUAUGCUAUAUGAAUUGCAACGUAUGAUGUCCUAUACUGCAGAGUUGUUGUUUUUUUUUUUUACCUUCAAAGUCUACGUGGCCAUCUCCGUUGAGGUCGAUG